AUACUUACCUGGCAAGGGAGACACCGUGAUCACCAAGGCGGAUCACCCAGGGCGAGGCUCGGCCAUUGCACUGCGGCUGUGCUGACCCCUGCGAAUUUCCCAAAUGUGGAAAUCUCGAUUGCAUAAUUUCUGGUAGUGGGGGAUUGCGUUUGCGCUCUCCCCUG
ensembl:snRNA U1 U1 spliceosomal RNA